CGGCCCACAAGGUUCUGAGGUCUGCUCGGCCGGAAUUAGGUGACUCCAUGCUAGAGUAGGACGAUCCAUUUUGCCUCCCAUCAUUUUGGUAGAAGUAUGCCCUAGAGGCCAAUAUGGCUGACGCAUAUUUAUAAUCUAGGACAUAAAUUUGUACUUGACCCUUAUUAUUUAUUAAUAAGAUUGGGCAUUAUUUCCAUUCAUAUUUGUAUGUGUCCAUGAAUCGUCUAAGGAAUUAAUAAGAUGAUGACAUAUAUUCUCAAGAGUUGAGAAUUUGAGGCAUGUGUCAUUAGUGAUUAAUUCCUAAAUGCUCCUAAUCGAUGGAUCUUUACGAGGACGGUGAUCAAUCCGAUGAGAUUAGUGCACAUAUCACUUAGUCAGAUGGAUGAGUCUCGAGUCCACAGUAUGGGAACACUGGAGUGAUUGUGCCAAUGCUUGAUAGAGAACAAGGGUACUAAGCGUGACCAAAGCAAGUAGUCACAUGGAUGUCUAUCCACUCGUCAGUGACAUACUUAUGCUACAGUUGUAUGACUGGUCCUUUAACCUGCGGUACCUCGGCUAUUCACUAUGAGGUUGUUGUAGUUUAACGAGUACAUACACAUGGGCCCUAGCCAUUUGGGUCCUUAUCAUACAUAUUGGCUGCAGUAGGUUCACUGUAGGAAUAGGAGUGCAUCCAGAAGGGAUCUAUCGACUUUGAUAGAUUAGGAGUGAUCUUAUGUAAUUUAUGAGACUGAGUUCGAUUAAAUUCCUGGCCAGGCAUUUUGAAAAAGGAGUUUUCCAAAUCUCAAACUAGAGUCAAAUAAAUCUUGCAUAUAUUAGAUGAUGGGGUUUGACGAGUUAUCCAUAACCUGAAGGGAAAAUUUCCCGAGUUGUCCGAUAAAAUCGAACGCCAGGCAUGAAAAAUCAGUUUUAAAUUUUUUUUAUUUUAUUUAUAACAAUUAUAAAAAUUUUAUAUAAAAUUACCUCAAGCCCGUAGCGGAAGUUGGUCGAGGUAAUUUGAAUCUGGAUCCCUGAAGGUAGCUCUGCAAGGCCUGGAUCUGCAAGCCCUCUACUUCGCACGCACGUCAAGCUUCGCAAGAAGGUUGGAUGAUGUCUUUACUCGUGCAAAACAAUCUUUUGCNNNNNNNNNNNNNNNNNNNNGGGAAAAUUUCCCGAGUUGUCCGAUAAAAUCGAACGCCAGGCAUGAAAAAUCAGUUUUAAAUUUUUUUUAUUUUAUUUAUAACAAUUAUAAAUAUUAAAUUUAAAUUUUAUAUAAAAUUACCUCAAGCCCGUAGCGGAAGUUGGUCGAGGUAAUUUGAAUCUGGAUCUGGAUUUGGAUCCCUGAAGGUAGCUCUGCAAGGCCUGGAUCUGCAAGCCCUCUACUUCGCACGCACGUCAAGCUUCGCAAGAAGGUUGGAUGAUGUCUUUACUCGUGCAAAACAAUCUUUUGCAAAAGGGACCCUUGGAAGAAAAGAAAUCCAGAAAAAGGACCUUCCCUUUUCUCUUUCUUUCUUUCUUCGGUUUCUUUUCUCCCGUUUCUUCACAGCACGCCUAAGCCACAGACGCCCGUCUCUUGAUCCUGAUCACAGAGGGAAUAGAAGGGAGGAGAGGACACCGGAUCUGGGCCGAACUCCAAACCACCAGAGAGAAAGGACUCCUUCCUCUCUCUUCUUCUUCUUCUCCACAGAAUCAAAAACUCCUUCUGUCUGACUAUUUUCUUCUCAAGAAAAUUCUCAUCCUCUCGUCUUCAAGAUGAUACGGUGGCCUCAAAUAGGCCAACGCUAAGAGGAGUUAAGAGGCGCUAUUGACCAAGCAUUAAAGAAUUCAUUUAUGGAUGAAUUUCAUAACGCUUGUUUCAAAACAAACGGUGGGAAAAAACUAAUGAAUCGAUGAAAACGUGCCAGAUUUCAAAGAUCUAAAUGAAC
rnacentral:lncRNA from 1 species